rnacentral:rRNA from 1 species
GACGAACGCUGGCGGCGUGCUUAACACAUGCAAGUCGAACGGAAAGGCCCUGCUUUUGUGGGGUGCUCGAGUGGCGAACGGGUGAGUAACACGUGAGUAACCUGCCCUUGACUUUGGGAUAACUUCAGGAAACUGGGGCUAAUACCGGAUAGGAGCUCCUGCUGCAUGGUGGGGGUUGGAAAGUUUCGGCGGUUGGGGAUGGGCUCGCGGCUUAUCAGCUUGUUGGUGGGGUGGUGGCUUACCAAGGCUUUGACGGGUAGCCGGCCUGAGAGGGUGACCGGCCACACUGUGACUCAGAUACAGCCCACACACCCCCAGGAGGCACAGGUGUGGAAUAUUGCACAAUAUGCGGAAGCCUCAGACACCAACGCCGCGCGCGCGAUAACGGCCCUCUCGUUGUAAACCGCGUUCGCCUGUGACAAAGCGUGUGUGACGCUAAUGGGUAAAGAAGCACCGGCUAACUACGUG